GGUCCGCUGGCUCAAUGGUAGAGCGUCUGACUACGAGUCAGGAGGUUUCCAGGUCCGAGACCUGGGUGGAUCA